UUUGGGCGUAUUGCAGUCAGAGUCAUCUGGCAGUCUCAUGGCUAUUGUUCUCUAUGUAUUAUUAUCACUUUGAGAAUAGAUUCCAAAACAUCUCCCACUCCUUUUUCAACUAUUAAUUUCAAAUAAAGGAAAAUCCAGGCAGGAGAAUUCAUGAACAAACAUAUCCCACCAAGGUUCUGUUUAACCUUUGCACUCAUUCUGUUAAAGGUUCCCUUACACAUUCAGCAUCACAUUCUCCAAACAUGCUUUUUUAUGUGGGAAAGUAUGGAUAUGAUUUUUUUUUUUUAAAUGGUGGGAGAGAGGUUUUGAGUUAUUACUGCCAUCCUUAACCUUCAUGAAAUAGUCCCUUAAGGGACUAGUGCAGGAAAUCUAAAAUCAAACAUGACUCACUGAUGUAUUUUCGGGUGAUUCAAUGACAAUUAGGGUUGCUACACUGAACAGGAAGGGCUUAAGAAUGGUCUGUGAAAGAGGCCGGAUCACCAACAAAGUCCUUGGGAAGACAGUGAAGAUAAACAAAGACAUGAAACGACAAAGAGGCUUUAACCUGGAAGGAACAUAUCCAGUCUUUCUGAAAUACUAGCCCCAGACUGACGUCACGGCUGAGAUGCACUCCCUUCUCCCCUCGAACAGUGAGGAGGGCAUCUAUAAAUACCAUUCCUGAUGGAGCCCUGUGGCUUUUUGCCAGCCUGAGUCACUGCAUGUGUACAAGAAAGCUGCUUGCUGAGGAACCGAGAGAGGCUGGUCACGAUGUAAGUAUUAAAUGUUUUUGUACAGACUUUAUACAACAUAAAAUGAAUAAAACAUGUCAGAAAAUGCUGUAAAUGAAAAAGAAAGGAACUGCAUUUGUAAGAGUAACUCUGCUCAGGUCUCAUCAUCUCACAUCAUGUCAAAUCACACUGUUACUGAUUAUUUUUCCAUGUCUGUGCUGCUGUGUUUUAUUCUUUGCUGAAACACUAUUUGCACUCCAUGUUUAUUGGAACUGGUAGAACAUUAAAUUGUUAUACAUUUAAAUUGCAUUUACAGCAUGCCAUCAAUUCUGCAUUUUUAUUCAUUUCAGCUAAACACCAUUAGCACGCCACACACAGCAGGUGGAAAACCAAUUCUGUAUGCAUGCUGGCGUAAAAAAGGCUUAACAAGGAUUAACAUAGGAGCUAAUUGGCAUCACCGCUUUAGACCACCAUGUAACUUUGUUUUUUUGGGUUUUUUUUCCUAGAGCACUCUUAUGCAUGUUAAGUGAACUCUUAUGCAUGUUAAGUGAACCAUUGUCCCUUAGGCCACUAAUCUUCCUCUACCUACGUAUGAGCAAACUAUGUAUGCCUCACCACACACACACACACACACACACACACACACGCACAUUCACAACUUCCUGUUUUUGACUAUAAAUGUCAACCUGUCGUCUCCACCUGCAGCCUGCUCACUGCAAGAGAGUAUCUCGUAAAGGCCACAUAAACACACCACAGAUGCACCAUAUGCACCAUACACAACAGCUUAAGGAACACCAUCAUAUAGGAAGCACAGAGUGGAAAACAAAAAACAGUGCCUUUGUGUUAGGAUCUUUAUUACAAAAGAAAAGAACAUUGAGUUGAUUCAACCACACUAGGUCUUUCCAGUAAUUCCAGCUGGGUGAUGACGCUUCUACUGGCUUGUUUUGUUCCUUUCCUUUCAGGUACCAGCUGACCAAAGGAUAGCACAUGCAAUCAUGAUAGUAAUUGUUUGAGGGCUGCAGUCACGGUUGCAUGCUGUCAUUAAAGGAAAUAAGUCUUAAGUGCUGUCAGUAAAGCUUGCUUAAGCUCUGUAGGAGUCCUUCAAAGCAAAUGACCUCAGUUCUAUGUAGAGACACUUAUGUUUACAUGAACAGGGCGAUUCAGGCACACGGACAUGAGUACUAUUAUAAAUAAUAAAUGAAUUCAGACACCAUAGCUGAUAUAUCUUGCUUUAAAAAGACCUUUUGCUUAUUAAACAGUACAGAGAUUAAUUCCUAUUCAAACAUAUUGUAGGCCUCCCACAUGUUGUUGUCAUAGAUCAUGAGCAUGAGAAAACUUUCCCGGAAUUUAGUUCAACCAUUACAUAACAUACUAACAUUGUGACUCUGAAAGGAAGGUGGUUUUCAGCAAGGAAGUCUCAGAGCACCCAAUGACACCUUAAUACCCAGGAUUCUGUUCUUGAUGGGUUUUUUUUUUUUCCAUUCACAAAUUACAUUUCCUUGGUACAUUUUCUUAAUGGCCAGGUGCACUCUGCCAUUCACAGAGAGAGCAGACGUGCAUUAUGCUAAAAAUAACUAAUGAAUCCCUAUCUCUCCUGGAGGAAAUGGUCUUUGUAAAUGUGUGUGUGUGUUUGUGUGUGUGUGUGUGUGUGAGAGAGAGAGAGAGAGAGAGAGAGAGAGAAAGAGAGAGAGAGAGACAUAAGGAUCUUGGCUCUUUCUAUGUUUCUGUGUUGUUGAAGAGCUCACACAGCAGCGGUUAGCAGUUAGAGUUCACUCAUCUGUGAGCAUCUAUGCGUCAGACUUGCAGGGUUAUUUUGAACUGCCAUUCAUUAAAUUACCACACAUUACCACAGUCUAAUUAAUGCGAUCUAUUUAUUGAGCGUUCUCGAAAGAAUUCACCGUGCACAAUGAUACACACACAUGCAGCAGAAAUGCAAAUUUAGUUGCUGUUUAGUGUAUCAUGAGCAGUUGGAUCCUCUGCUGCAUAAUUUCCCUUUUAAUUACUACUGCUUUUGCCUUCACUAAUUGGCAUUAAAUAACACUGAUGAUUUCUCUGCAGACUCUUCAUGCAGGUCUCUCUCUUAAAUUGGAAACAGUUCUCUGAUUUCCAAGACAAGAAAAAAAUUCCUUAUUUCCACACAGCAUGUAAUAAAGCCUUAGGGAUCCUCAAACAAACAUCUCAGCAAUCUUUAUUUUUAUUUACCUGAUCCAAGCACAUAAUGUUUAGUCACAUAAUCACUGACUGUUUAGCUUUUUGUGGGUUUCUUUUAUUUAUUUAUUGGUUAUCUGUACAAAGUGAUGUAAAGAUUAAAACGAUUACUCUGUAUACUACUGGUGAAAUCUUUAGGCCUUGGGUUCGUGUGGAGUUGGAGGUGUUUAAGCCACUUAUGUGUCUGUGAUGCAUACUGUAUAUUUGUAUAUUCUACAUCCUGUAUCUCUGACAUUGUAUUCUUCAGCCACUGACAUAUCCAAAUUUACAUAGCCAAAAGGCAUGCACAUCUAUGAAUUCAGUCUGUCAUCUGAGAGAUAUGAUAAGAGCUGUAACCAAAUUUUGUGGUCACAUAUUUUCAUGUGCAAGGUAAAGUAUACUUCCUCUAUCUAUAUAUGGCCUAAGCUUAAACCUACUGUGACUUCCAUUAAAAUUCAAGUUGAAUUUCUCCACAUUUAUUACAAACUGGAACCAAAAUGGACUUAAUUGGGAUUGUUCUUUAUCUGUUUUUGUUUGUUUUUCAGGUAAUUGUGUUCCAUGGAUGUUCGAUUUUCUGAAUAUUUUUUAUAA